rnacentral:rRNA from 1 species
AUUGCCCUAGUAACGGCGAGUGAAGCGGCAACAGCUCAAAUUUGAAAUCUGGCGUCUUUGGCGUCCGAGUUGUAAUUUGCAGAGGGCGCUUUGGCAUUGGCAGCGGUCCAAGUUCCUUGGAACAGGACGUCACAGAGGGUGAGAAUCCCGUACGUGGUCGCUAGCCUUUACCGUGUAAAGCCCCUUCGACGAGUCGAGUUGUUUGGGAAUGCAGCUCUAAAUGGGAGGUAAAUUUCUUCUAAAGCUAAAUACUGGCCAGAGACCGAUAGCGCACAAGUAGAGUGAUCGAAAGAUGAAAAGCACUUUGGAAAGAGAGUUAAAAAGCACGUGAAAUUGUUGAAAGGGAAGCGCUUGCAGCCAGACUUGCCUGUAGUUGCUCAUCCGGGUUUUUACCCGGUGCACUCUUCUAUAGGCAGGCCAGCAUCAGUUUGGGCGGUUGGAUAAAGGUCUCUGUCAUGUACCUCCUUUCGGGGAGAACUUAUAGGGGAGACGACAUGCAACCAGCCUGGACUGAGGUCCGCGCAUCUGCUAGGAUGCUGGCGUAAUGGCUGUAAGCGGCCCGUCUUGAAACACGGACCAAGGAGUCUAACAUCUAUGCGAGUGUUUGGGUGUCAAGCCCGAGCGCGUAAUGAAAGUGAACGGAGGUGGGAACCUUUCGGGGUGCACCAUCGACCGAUCCUGAUGUCUUCGGAUGGAUUUGAGUAAGAGCAUAGCUGUUGGGACCCGAAAGAUGGUGAACUAUGCUUGAAUAGGGUGAAGCCAGAGGAAACUCUGGUGGAGGCUCGCAGCGGUUCUGACGUGCAAAUCGAUCGUCAAAUUUGGGCAUAGGGGCGAAAGACUAAUCGA